rnacentral:rRNA from 1 species
AUUGAACGCUGGCGGCAGGCCUAACACAUGCAAGUCGAGCGGAUGAAGGGAGCUUGCUCCUGGAUUCAGCGGCGGACGGGUGAGUAAUGCCUAGGAAUCUGCCUGGUAGUGGGGGAUAACGUCCGGAAACGGGCGCUAAUACCGCAUACGUCCUGAGGGAGAAAGUGGGGGCUCUUCGGACCUCACGCUCUCAGAUGAGCCUAGGUCGGAUUAGCUAGUUGGUGGGGUAAAGGCCUACCAAGGCGACGAUCCGUAACUGGUCUGAGAGGAUGAUCAGUCACACUGGAACUGAGACACGGUCCAGACUCCUACGGGAGGCAGCAGUGGGGAAUAUUGGACAAAGGGCGAAAGCCUGAUCCAGCCAUGCCGCGUGUGUGAAGAAGGUCUUCGGAUUGUAAAGCACUUUAAGUUGGGAGGAAGGGCAGUAAGUUAAUACCUUGCUGUUUUGACGUUACCAACAGAAUAAGCACCGGCUAACUUCGUG